UAAUUUUAUUUACAUAUCCUGUAGUCACUCGUCACCCCGCUGGGAUUCAUUUUUUGGACGUUGUUCGACGAAUCACCAUUCAAAUGGCACCCUGCAGGUCACGUGAGCACCUGGUUCAGUAUCGGCGCGUUAGCGAUAAUGGUUCCCGCCAUUUUUGUUUACAACAUGGGUGCACCAGAGAUUUCGAUGAAUGGGAAUCAAAGUGAGAAGUUUUAUCACCCCGAUUCUACUGACCGGUAUCAGUCAACAUUUGGAUCAAACCGACUUCUUGUCCCAGAGGGCAGACAUCCUCCGAGCUCUUACACUUAAAGGACUUAUGAAAAAAACUGUAUUCAUUAGACCCGCGCUUCAUCAUUGCAAAUGUAAGACAAAGGGACAAAAACCUUGAGGCUGUUUCACAAGAUUUCUUGUAAACAGCACCCAAUACAGUUUAUCCGAAAAAAGGGAUAAUAUAAUGGAUUAAUAGCAGACAUAGCAUGUCAAAUUUUUCCAGAGUAGGAAUUAGUAUGGAGAAUGAAUCUUUCUUCACACACCGUUAUAAGAUUUUCUUUAAACACCAAAGUAGAAAGGCCAAUUUAACAUACAGAGAUAGUAAAAUUGAUCAAAAACUGAAAAAACAAUGAUUUUAAAGCGAUUAAUUUUGCUCGAGCAGACUACAAUUUGGUGCAGAUGAGAUGACGAUCAAUUGAUUAAAAAAGAGGUUACGGAGAAUUUAUAACAUAUGUAUAACUGCAUGUGUUGUUCUUGAAACAUAGAAAAAAUUGCUUUCCAAGGUCAGCGUUAAGUGUAAUCAAUAAAUUUCCCCUGCACAAUCGUA